GAUGAACGCUGGCGGCGUGCCUAAUACAUGCGAGUCGAGCGAACGGACGAGAAGCUUGCUUCUCUGAUGUUAGCGGCGGACGGGUGAGUAACACGUGGAUAACCUACCUAUAAGACUGGGAUAACUUCGGGAAACCGGAGCUAAUACCGGAUAAUAUUUUGAACCGCAUGGUUCAAAAGUGAAAGACGGUCUUGCUGUCACUUAUAGAUGGAUCCGCGCUGCAUUAGCUAGUUGGUAAGGUAACGGCUUACCAAGGCAACGAUGCAUAGCCGACCUGAGAGGGUGAUCGGCCACACUGGAACUGAGACACGGUCCAGACUUCUACGGGAGGCAGCAGUAGGGAAUCUUCCGCAAUGGGCGAAAGCCUGACGGAGCAACGCCGCGUGAGUGAUGAAGGUCUUCGGAUCGUAAAACUCUGUUAUUAGGGAAGAACAUAUGUGUAAGUAACUGUGCACAUCUUGACGGUACCUAAUCAGAAAGCCACGGCUAACUACGUG
rnacentral:rRNA from 1 species